GAACGCGAAGAACCUUACCCGGGCUUGAAUUGCAGACGAACGAUUCAGAGAUGAUGAGGCCCUUCGGGGCGUCUGUGAAGGUGCUGCAUGGUUGUCGUCAGCUCGUGCCGUGAGGUGUCGGCUUAAGUGCCAUAACGAGCGCAACCCCUUUUUUCAGUUGCCAUCAGGUGAUGCUGGGCACUCUGGAGAUACUGCCACCGUAAGGUGUGAGGAAGGUGGGGAUGACGUCAAAUCAGCACGGCCCUUACGUCCGGGGCUACACACGUGUUACAAUGGCCGGUACAGAGAGUUGGUUGUAUGCAAAUACGAUCUAAUCCUUAAAGCCGGUCCCAGUUCGGACUGGGGUCUGCAACCCGACCCCACGAAGCUGGAUUCGCUAGUAAUCGCGCAUCAGCCAUGGCGCGGUGAAUACGUUCCCGGGUCUUGUACACACC
rnacentral:rRNA from 1 species